rnacentral:rRNA from 1 species
UACGAAGGGGGCUAGCGUUGUUCGGAAUUACUGGGCGUAAAGGGCGCGUAGGCGGUACUUCAAGUCAGGCGUGAAAGCCCCGGGCUCAACCUGGGAACCGCGCUUGAGACUGGAGAACUAGAGUUCGGGAGAGGAUGGUGGAAUUCCCAGUGUAGAGGUGAAAUUCGUAGAUAUUGGGAAGAACACCGAUGGCGAAGGCAGCCAUCUGGACCGACACUGACGCUGAGGAGCGAAAGCGUGGGGAGCGAAACAG